CGUAGGUGAUAUGCCUAUUAGUGGGGGACAACAUCGUGAAAACGGUGCUAAUACCGCAUAAGCUUGGUGAAAUUGAAAAAACCAAGGAAAGGGGGCUUCGGCUCUCGCUGAUAGAUUGGCCUGCGUAGCAUUAGCUUGUUGGUGGGGUAAUGGCCUACCAAGGCGACGAUGCUUAGCUGGUCUGAGAGGAUGAUCAGUCACACUGGAACUGAGACACGGUCCAG
rnacentral:rRNA from 1 species